AUGCAGACUAGAGACCAUGCUGUAACCACAGACCUUUGGACAGAGGAAAGGACCAACACACACUACAUCACUGUUACAGUGCAUUACAUCCUUGACUGGAAGAUGGUAAACCGGAUUCUGGCCACAAGAGAGAUGGAAGGUGUUAAAUCCAGUGACCACAUCAGAAGGACUGUGGAGAGAAUCUUUCAGGAAUUUGGCAUCCUGAGCAACAACACCGCUUUUGUAACGGAUAAUGGCUCAAAUGUGGUUGCAGCAUUCAAGGAUUAUGUCCAACUCUCCUGUGCUGGCCAUAAUAUCAACUUAAUCUUAAAACAUGUAUUUGACCACUUGGACGAGGACAACCCAGUGCACAGCAACAUCAUCAAGCUGUUUAAGGACACAAAGACCCUUGUCACACACUUCAAAAGAGCAGGGUUGCAAAAAGCACUGGACCAGUCACUGAAGCAAUCUGUGGAGACGAGGUGGAAUACCAGACUAGCAAUGCUCCAAUCUGUUAAUGAUGCUCUGAGAUCUGGGAGGCUGCAUGACAUCCUGCUUCGCCGAAACGAGCUCCGUUACCUCAACAACAUAGACUGCGAACUUCUUGAAGACAUCAUCCAACUCCUGAAACCUUUUGAUGAGGCUACCAGGCAUCUCUCCACUGAUCAGACACCUACCCUUCACCUUGUCCUCCCGACCAAGGCUACUCUACUGAGGGGUUUGUCGAUCCAGGAUGGAGACAGUGUGAUUGUAAAAGAGAUCCACCCCCAGAGCAAGGAGCUAUGGAGGUGCAUAACUUCUUUGCAAGUUGUGUAG
rnacentral:lncRNA from 1 species